rnacentral:rRNA from 1 species
ACGGAAGUUAAGCUCUCCAGCGCCGAUGGUAGUUGGGGCCAGCGCCCCUGCGAGAGUAGGUCGUCGCUAGGC